AACACAUACAAAUUUCUGUUUAUAUCCAAAACACAUUUGUAGUUUUGGACUAUAACAAACUAUACCUAUCCAUCCAUGUAGCAUCUACAUAUAUGUCUUAUGCUACAUAAACUCUUGCUUGAACACGCACACACACACACGCACACACACACACUCAAAAUAAGUAUUAUAGGCAAAUAACUGUUAUACUUUUUGAGGGACCUAUAGCCAGAGUUUUGGCCUAAUUAUUUUUCAGAUUCAAAAAAAUAUAUGGUAUUACCAAGGUUUUUACCAUAAUAAAAGUCCUAACAAGAUAUACUGUAUGUUGAUAAUCUUUUUAUCUUGAACUCUGAUGAAGAAGUAUACCAACUCUUAGAACUUUUUUCAGCUCAGGCACUUGGGCUGACUUUGAUAUUGAAUCAGCUAUCAAGAGAAAUUGUCCAUUUUCUAGAUGUAAACAUCAAAGUCUUGAAUGAGAGUUAUAAUUUAUCUGUAUAUAGAAAAGCUGCCUACAUUCCCAUCUUUAUUCCAGUUUGAUCCAAUGACCCAUGAAGUAUAAGGAAGCAGCAAUGAGUCAUCUUAAGAAGAAUCUUUAUGUACUAUAGACUAAAGAACUCACUCACUAGGGAUUAAAAACAGGAAUAUAAUACCAUUAUUAAUCAUACUUGGAUUCCAUUUUCAUUUAAUGUUUCAUUAUUCCAUGCUUGGAUCCAAGAAUGAUUAAUAAUGGUGAAUAGCAUCAAAGAUAUUUGUUCAUCUUUAAUUGAUUUUGUUCAUGAGGACCUAUUUAGUAUGUGACAUAGCUCCCAAGUUGUUACCAGCAUCUGCAGAUAAUUCCAUGCAGAGACAGUUAAUGAAACUUACAAUUUAUGAGCCUUCAUUAAAGCACAUAAGAAGAUCUUUGAAUAAGAAAGCAGGAAUUGUGCCAUCUUACAGGAGAAUAAAAACUACCUAUUAUAUUCUUAGGAACGACAAAGAUAAACCCCUGCCAAAUUCUUUUUUCAGUAUAUACAUAAUACAAACACAGAAUAUAGAUAUUAAUAGAAUUGCAGAAUAUAUUUGCAUCAAAUGAGGUACCUGAAAAGUAGACUCAGGGAGCACAUGAAAGACAUAGCAAAUGCAAUCUAAUAUGACUCUGGCAGGGACAUUUUGUAAAGCAUCCUUUGAAGUCCACUGAAGUAAAGCAAGG
rnacentral:lncRNA from 1 species